GCAAGUCAAACGGAACUUUUUUAGGUCGAGAUUGAGAUUAUAUCAAGGUCAAAGACUUUUUAAGUUUAGUGGCGAACGGGGUAGUAACGCGUGGGAACUUAAACAGAAGUCAGGAAUAGCCCAUCGAAAGGUGGAUUAAUACUUGAUAGACCCUCCGGGGUAAAGAUUUAUCGCUUCUGGGAAGGCCUGCGUAGUAUCAGCUAGUUGGUAAGGUAAUGGCUUACCAAGGCUAUGACGCUUAGGGGAGCUGAGAGGCUGACC
rnacentral:rRNA from 1 species